AGCUCCAAUAGCGUAUAUUAAAGUUGUUGCGGUUAAAAAGCUCGUAGUUGGAUAUAUCUGCAGGUACAGUUUGGUUCAUUAUCCAAUGGUACUACCCUGUCUACCUGCAUUCUGGCGUAGCUUUGUGCAGGUGCUCUUAACUGAGUGUCCACAGACUCGUCACCUUUUUUACUUUGAAAAAAUUAGAGUGCUCAGAGCAGGCUGAUAUGCUUGAAUAUUCGUGCAUGGAAUAAUGGAAUAGGAAGUCGUUCCUAAUUUAUUGGUUUUUGGAAGGCGACUUAAUGAUUGAUAGGGACGGCCGGGGGCAUUAGUAUUCGGCCGACAGAGGUGAAAUUCUUGGACCGUCCGGAGACUAACUACUGCGAAAGCAUUUGCCAAGAGUGUUU
rnacentral:rRNA from 1 species